AACGAACGCUGGCGGCAGGCCUAACACAUGCAAGUCGAGCGGACCCUCCGGGGUUAGCGGCGGACGGGUGAGUAACGCGUGGGAAUAUGCCCUUCUCUACGGAAUAGUCCUGGGAAACUGGGGGUAAUACCGUAUACGCCCUUUGGGGGAAAGAUUUCUCGGGGAAGGAUUAGCCCGCGUUGGAUUAGGUAGUUGGUGGGGUAAUGGCCUACCAAGCCGACGAUCCAUAGCUGGUUUGAGAGGAUGAUCAGCCACACUGGGACUGAGACACGGCCCAGACUCCUACGGGAGGCAGCAGUGGGGAAUCUUAGACAAUGGGGGCAACCCUGAUCUAGCCAUGCCGCGUGAGUGAUGAAGGCCUUAGGGUUGUAAAGCUCUUUCAGCUGGGAAGAUAAUGACGGUACCAGCAGAAGAAGCCCCGGCUAACUCCGUG
rnacentral:rRNA from 1 species